rnacentral:sRNA from 1 species
UGACUCUAACCUUCGUGGACUCCAGUC